rnacentral:misc_RNA from 1 species
UGUAGGAGUGAGCCUGCUCGCGAUAGCGGUGUGUCAGUCAACUUACUCGUUACUGACAGAUUGCUAUCGCGAGCAGGCUCACUCCUACA